GAUUCUUCAAUGCUCAUAGUUGAUCGAUCUUGUAUGUAUUCUGCGAGACUCUUUCAUGUCAUCCAUCAUAUUCAACUAGAAAGUGUACAUGACAUUGGAUUCAUCAAUGCUCAUAGUUGAUCGAUCUUGUAAGUAUUCUGCGAGACUCUUUCAUGUCAUCCAUCAUAUUCAACUAGAAAGUGUACCUGACAUUAGAUUCUUCAAUGCUCAUAGUUGAUCGAUCUUGUAUGUAUUCUGCGAGACUCUUUCAUGUCAUCCAUCAUAUUCAACUAGAAAGUGUACAUGACAUUGGAUUCAUCAAUUGUCAUAGUUGAUCGAUCUUGUAAGUAUUCUGCGAGACUCUUUCAUGUCAUCCAUCAUAUUCAACUAGAAAGUGUACCUGACAUUAGAUUCUUCAAUGCUCAUAGUUGAUCGAUCUUGUAAGUAUUCUGUGAGACUCUUUCAUGUCAUCCAUCAUAUUCAACUAGAAAGUGUACAUGACAUUGGAUUCAUCAAUGCUCAUAGUUGAUCGAUCUUGUAAGUAUUUUGCGAGACUCUUUCAUGUCAUCCAUCAUAUUCAACUAGAAAGUGUACCUGACAUUAGAUUCUUCAAUGCUCAUAGUUGAUCGAUCUUGUAUGUAUUCUGCGAGACUCUUUCAUGUCAUCCAUCAUAUUCAACUCUCAUAGUUGAUCGAUCUUGUAAGUAUUCUGAGAGACUCUUUCAUGUCAUCCAUCAUAUUCAACUAGAAAGUGUACCAACCCAUUACAAAUCACA
rnacentral:lncRNA from 1 species